rnacentral:rRNA from 1 species
AUGAGGGAAAUCUCACGCCGUGAUCGCCUGAGAGAACUACUUGUGGCUGCUUACUUGUUGUUUCGUAGGCUCUCCGCCACGGGUGCCCUCCUGGAUGAAGACACUUCGCUAUGGCUGUCGCCGGGAGAUAACCCGGCUGAUGGUGGAUUGCUCGUUGGUUCAAAUGGAGACACGUAUUAUAUGCCACCUGACACAGCAGGGAAGUUGGAUGAGACUGUCAAGGAGGAAAAUCUUUCUGGACAAACUCUAGGGGAGAAACUUUGGAGUUUUCUUGUGUGGUGGCGUCAGGAAAAUCCGGAUGAUGAUGCUCCUGUGUCACCUGGACAAUAG